ensembl:lincRNA Gm12326 predicted gene 12326
GGAAAAAGGACAGCUGAGUUUUUACUAACCAAGGGCAUGCCAAUGUCACUGCUAGAGUACAAAGGACCUGGAGGAGGGAGCUACUGGUCUCUCAGAGGUCACUGAGCUGUUCUCUGCACAAGCUGUUCUCUGGGAAGAAGGAGAGAGGAGCUGCUGAAGGGAGGCAUGCAUGCGGCUCCUGCUUCAUAUCCACCAGAACAACAGGGAAAGGCAGUAAGGAUGAAUGGAAAGGAGGUGGCUGAAGGCCGUCCUAGGGUUACAGCAGAGCAGGCGACUCUGCUACUGCAGAACCACACGACAGUGUGUCCUCUGCCAAG